rnacentral:lncRNA from 1 species
CUCUGUGCUGUCGUAGCCCCCAUGUCGGUCUUCCUCUUCUUCCUCUUCUUCCUCUUCCUCCUCCUCCUCCUGUGCCUGCCCCUGCUGAAAGCAGCAACUCCCUGAAGGCAGAGGGGAGGGGAAGGGGUAGGAUGGAAGGGGAGGGGAGGAAUCAGCCGUCAGGAGAAGCAGCUUGGAGAUCUCCGGAGCCCCCCUGUGCCCGAGCCCCCCCAGUCCCCAGCUGUCAGUGGUGCUGCUUCGCUGCUUGCAUUUUGGGGCCAGUUUGGCACAAAGGGUGACUUCUGCCUGGGGUCUCUCUGCAGGCGUUCGCAGGGAGCAGCGCGGCUGCAGGCAGCUGUCCUGUCCCUCGGGCAGGAUUUCCUGGCGGGACCCCGAGACCCCCGGCGAUGGAGCCGGAGGAGAAGCCGUUCGUGGGGGACCCCCGGGGCGGGGGGCGCAGGGGAGUCCCUGGCCCCCGCGGUGCAGGAAAGGGCUGGGCUGGUGUGAAGCACGAGAUUGUGGUGAAAACGGAGCCGGAGGACGAGUCGGACAUCGGGUACCCCCAGGGCCCAGGGGCGGGGGCUGCUGCCCCCGGCAUCCCCAGUGUCCCCAGCAUCCCCGGUGUCCCCAGCACCAGUAAGUGACGUGGAGCAGGGCGCUGCACAGAGGGGUUGUGCUGGGACGGGGCAUGCCCCGCGCCCUUUGGGAACCGGGAACUCCCUCCUGCAGGAAAAGCAGCAGUUCCCUUCCCUGCGUAACGAGUAUUUAAUAGUAUUUAACUUAGUAAGAUAACGAUAGUUUAAUAUUGAUGGGUGCAUUGGAGCCUCAGUGACCUGCAUCUGGUGCAGCCCCGUGGUUCCCCGGGGUCCUGGCUGCAGGAGGCACCGAGCUCGCUGCACCCAGUGCCUGCGGAGCGGGGACCCGGCGGCAGCGGGCGGCAGCGGCACGGCCCUGUCCGUCCCCAGAGCAGGACGUGUGGGCCGGGUGCUUCCUUCCACAGGCAUCAAAACAGAGGUCGUCAUCAAAACCGAGCCUGAGGACGACUCCUACGGUGACUGCUGCCCACGGGAGAAGGAGGAGCCCCCCGACCCCACUGCCUGUGAGUGGGGCUGGGCACAUGGGGGUGCCCGGGGCUGUGCCAUGGGGUCACGCUCCCUGCUCUGCCCCUCGGUGCCUUUGUAGGCAGCUGCCCCGUGCAGUCCUGGGGAUGGUGACACUC